GGAAACUCAACCUGCUUGUCAACCCGUUAGUGUCACUAAAUAGUUAUUGUAAUAAAUGUGCGUGUUAUUGCAGUGGUAAUAUUGACAGUGGUUCACUUCUUUAUUUUUUUAAGGCCUUUUGUCCUUCAAUCCAGCCAAGAUAUAUUAUUCUGAUAUUAGGAGUGAUUUAAAAAAUCUGGUUUUGAUCAGAAAGGCGUGUAAUGACUGAGUCUUUGGGAUCAGAUUGGUGAAAGUAAUGCUAUAAGAAAGGAGCUUGACAAACUUUGGUGGAUCUAGCAGGCUAAGCGAUCCAACAUCAUUCGUCCAUUCAUCAGUCCAUCAAAGCAGGAUGUUAGAGAGGUGCCCUGUGCUUCUUUACCAUAUCUCCAAGAUAUCCCCACUCAGUGAAUCAGCAAUCUUCAAUAAAGUAGAAGGUAAUACU
ensembl:lncRNA